UCCAGGCCAGCGUGCCUGCCUCGCCUCCAGCCCGGGGCUCAUUUGCCAUCUAUCCUCCCCACACCUGAAUAUUUUAGGAUGGGCCUCCAGCGCUUUCCAGGCUAACUCAGCGAGCCCAGUCUUCUUAGUCAACUGAGAGACAUGUCUACAGAACAGACCAUGUGGCCAACUCCUCCUCCUCCCCAUGCCCCAGGCAAGAGGACUCUGGGAAGACAUCCAGGAAGCAAGGAGUCUGUAGCCAGGUGCCUUCAGAAGCCCAAGGUCAUUGGCCCUGCCACUCUGGUUUGCCAACUCCUCAAGGACCACAUAG
rnacentral:lncRNA from 1 species